UACGAGGGGGGCAAGCGUUGUUCGGAAUUAUUGGGCGUAAAGGGCUCGUAGGCGGUCCAUCACGUCGGGAGUGAAAAAGCUGGGGCUUAACCCCCAGUCCUGGCUUCCGAUAACGGGUGGACUAGAGGUAGGUAGGGGAGAACGGAAUUCCUGGUGUAGCGGUGAAAUGACGCAGAUAUCAGGAGGAACACCGGUGGCGAAGGCGGCUCGCUGGGACGUGACUGACGCUGAGACGCGAAAGCGUGGGGAGCAAACAGG
rnacentral:rRNA from 1 species